AAAUUGUACUGGGGCUAGAUUUGAACGCUGGCGGCAGGCCUAACACAUGCAAGUCGAACGGUAACAGGAAGCAGCUUGCUGCUUUGCUGACGAGUGGCGGACGGGUGAGUAAUGUCUGGGAAACUGCCUGAUGGAGGGGGAUAACUACUGGAAACGGUGGCUAAUACCGCAUAACGUCGCAAGACCAAAGAGGGGGACCUUCGGGCCUCUUGCCAUCAGAUGUGCCCAGAUGGGAUUAGCUUGUUGGUGAGGUAACGGCUCACCAAGGCGACGAUCCCUAGCUGGUCUGAGAGGAUGACCAGCCACACUGGAACUGAGACACGGUCCAGACUCCUACGGGAGGCAGCAGUGGGGAAUAUUGCACAAUGGGCGCAAGCCUGAUGCAGCCAUGCCGCGUGUAUGAAGAAGGCCUUCGGGUUGUAAAGUACUUUCAGCGGGGAGGAAGGUGUUGUGGUUAAUAACCGCAGCAAUUGACGUUACCCGCAGAAGAAGCACCGGCUAACUCCGUGCCAGCCGCCGCGGUAAUU
rnacentral:rRNA from 1 species